AGCGCACACGGUGGAUGCCUAGGCGGUCAGAGGCGAUGAAGGACGUGGUAGCCUGCGAAAAGUGUCGGGGAGCUGGCAACAAGCUUUGAUCCGGCAAUAUCCGAAUGGGGAAACCCACUGCUUCGGCAGUAUCCUGCAGUGAAUUCAUAGCUGCUGGAAGCGAACCCGGUGAACUGAAAUAUCUAAGUAACCGGAGGAAAAGAAAUCAACCGAGAUUCCCUAAGUAGUGACGAGCGAACGGGGAGCAGCCCUUAAGCUGGAAUGGCUUUAGAAAAACAAUCUGGAAAGAUUGGCCAUAGAAGGUGAUAGCCCUGUAUUUAAAAGGGCCACUCCAGUGAAGACGAGUAGGGCGGGGCACGUGAAACCCUGUCUGAAUAUGGGGGGACCAUCCUCCAAGGCUAAAUACUCCUGACCGACCGAUAGUGAACCAGUACCGUGAGGGAAAGGCGAAAAGAACCCCGGAGAGGGGAGUGAAAUAGAUCCUGAAACCGUGUGCGUACAAGCAGUAGGAGCUCGCAAGAGUGACUGCGUACCUUUUGUAUAAUGGGUCAGCGACUUACUGUUCGUGGCAAGCUUAACCGUAUAGGGGAGGCGAAGGGAAACCGAGUCUGAUAAGGGCGCAUAGUCGCGGGCAGUAGACCCGAAACCGGGUGAUCUAGUCAUGGCCAGGGUGAAGGUGCCGUAACAGGUACUGGAGGCCCGACCCCACGUCUGUUGCAAAAGACGGGGAUGAGCUGUGAUUAGGAGUGAAAAGCUAAUCGAACCCGGAGAUAGCUGGUUCUCCUCGAAAGCUAUUUAGGUAGCGCCUCGGACGAAUACUACUGGGGGUAGAGCACUGUUAUGGCUAGGGGGNAACCCAGACCCACAGCUAAGGUCCCAAAUUCACUGCUAAGUGGAAAACGAUGUGGAAAGGCAUAGACAGCCAGGAGGUUGGCUUAGAAGCAGCCACCCUUUAAAGAAAGCGUAAUAGCUCACUGGUCGAGUCGGUCUGCGCGGAAGAUUUAACGGGGCUAAGCAGUGAACCGAAGCUUGGGGUGCAUAAAACUUGUUUUAUGCGCGGUAGAGGAGCGUUCCGUAAGCCUGCGAAGGUGGAUUGAGAAGUCUGCUGGAGGUAUCGGAAGUGCGAAUGCUGACAUGAGUAACGAUAAUGCGGGUGAAAAGCCCGCACGCCGAAAGCCCAAGGUUUCCUUGCGCAACGUUAAUCGACGCAGGGUUAGUCGGUCCCUAAGGCGAGGGCGAAAGCCGUAGUCGAUGGGAAGCAGGUUAAUAUUCCUGCACCUCGCGUGAGUGCGAUGGAGGGACGGAGAAGGUUAGGUGUACCGGGCGUUGGUUGUCCCGGGGAAAGGCGGUAGGUUUGGAUCUUUGGCAAAUCCGGGAUCCUUUAAGACCGAGCACCGAGACGAGCCUUUAUGGCGAAGUCACUGAUACCACGCUUCCAGGAAAAGCUCCUAAGCUUCAGCUCACGAAGACCGUACCGUAAACCGACACAGGUGGGUAGGAUGAGAAUUCUCAGGCGCUUGAGAGAACUCGGGUGAAGGAACUAGGCAACAUGGCACCGUAACUUCGGGAGAAGGUGCACCCUUUUUGGUGGCUCAUGCGAGCUAUAGCUGAAGAGGGUCGCAGAAACCAGGCCGCUGCGACUGUUUAUCAAAAACACAGCACUCUGCAAACACGAAAGUGGACGUAUAGGGUGUGACGCCUGCCCGGUGCUGGAAGGUUAAUUGAUGGGGUCAGCCGCAAGGCGAAGCUCUUGAUCGAAGCCCCAGUAAACGGCGGCCGUAACUAUAACGGUCCUAAGGUAGCGAAAUUCCUUGUCGGGNGGGGUCAGCCGCAAGGCGAAGCUCUUGAUCGAAGCCCCAGUAAACGGCGGCCGUAACUAUAACGGUCCUAAGGUAGCGAAAUUCCUUGUCGGGUAAGUUCCGACCUGCACGAAUGGCGUAACGACAGCGGCGCUGUCUCCACCCGAGACUCAGUGAAAUUGAAAUCGCUGUGAAGAUGCAGCGUUCCCGUGGCAAGACGGAAAGACCCCGUGAACCUUUACUAUAGCUUUACACUGAACGUUGAGUUCGUCUGUGUAGGAUAGGUGGGAGGCUAUGAAACUGUGGCGCUAGCUGCAGUGGAGCCAUCCUUGAAAUACCACCCUGUCGUGCUUGACGUUCUAACCUAGAUCCGUUAUCCGGAUCAGGGACCGUGUAUGGUGGGUAGUUUGACUGGGGCGGUCUCCUCCUAAAGAGUAACGGAGGAGCACGAAGGNCUAGAUCCGUUAUCCGGAUCAGGGACCGUGUAUGGUGGGUAGUUUGACUGGGGCGGUCUCCUCCUAAAGAGUAACGGAGGAGCACGAAGGUACGCUCAGCGCGGUCGGACAUCGCGCACUGUGUGCAAAGGCAUAAGCGUGCUUGACUGCAAGAUCGACGGAUCAAGCAGGUACGAAAGUAGGUCUUAGUGAUCCGGUGGUUCUGUAUGGAAGGGCCAUCGCUCAACGGAUAAAAGGUACUCCGGGGAUAACAGGCUGAUACCGCCCAAGAGUUCAUAUCGACGGCGGUGUUUGGCACCUCGAUGUCGGCUCAUCACAUCCUGGGGCUGUAGUCGGUCCCAAGGGUAUGGCUGUUCGCCAUUUAAAGUGGUACGCGAGCUGGGUUCAGAACGUCGUGAGACAGUUCGGUCCCUAUCUGCCAUGGGCGUUGGAAGUUUGAGAGGGGCUGCUCCUAGUACGAGAGGACCGGAGUGGACGAACCUCUGGUGUUCCGGUUGUCACGCCAGUGGCAUUGCCGGGUAGCUAUGUUCGGAAGCGAUAACCGCUGAAAGCAUCUAAGCGGGAAGCGCGCCUCAAGAUGAGACUUCCCGGGGCACAAGCCCCCUAAAGGAACCAUAUAGACUAUGUGGUUGAUAGGUCAGGUGUGUAAGUACAGCAAUGUAUUGAGCUAACUGAUACUAAUGAUCCGUGCGGCUUGACC
rnacentral:rRNA from 1 species